AUUGAACGCUGGCGGCAGGCUUAACACAUGCAAGUCGAGCGGGGAAAGGUAGCUUGCUACCUAACCUAGCGGCGGACGGGUGAGUAAUGCUUAGGAAUCUGCCUAUUAGUGGGGGACAACAUCUCGGAAGGGAUGCUAGUACCGCAUACGUCCUACGGGAGAAAGCAGGGGACCUUCGGGCCUUGCGCUAAUAGAUGAGCCUAAGUCGGAUUAGCUAGUUGGUGGGGUAAAGGCCUACCAAGGCGACGAUCUGUAGCGGGUCUGAGAGGAUGAUCCGCCACACUGGGAAUGAGACACGGCCAAGACUCCUACGGGAGGCAGCAGUGGGGAAUAUUGGACAAUGGGGGGAACCCUGAUCCAGCCAUGCCGCGUGUGUGAAGAAGGCCUUUUGGUUGUAAAGCACUUUAAGCGAGGAGGAGGCUACUGAGACUAAUACUCUUGGAUAGUGGACGUUACUCGCAGAAUAAGCACCGGCUAACUCUGUGCCAGCCGCCGCAGUAAAAC
rnacentral:rRNA from 1 species